CUGCCUCAACCCCCUGCUCACUGGUUCUCACUGCCUGGUGCUUCAGAUGAUCUUCCCACUGCACUGGCAGUGCCCCUACAUUCCUCUGUGCCCGCUGGUGCUGGCAGAUGUGCUGAGUGCCCCAGUGCCCUUCAUUGUGGGUAUCCACUCCAGCUACUUUGAUCUGCAUGACCCGCCUGCUGAUGUCAUCUGUGUCGACCUUGAUACCAACACGCUCUUCCAGACUGAGGAAAAGAAGCUCCUCUCCCCUCGGACCCUGCCCCGCAGACCCUACAAGGUUCUGCUGGCCACACUGACAAACCUGUACCAGCAGCUGGACCAGAGUGAGAAGCCUGGGUGGGGAGGGAGGCUGGGAACUGUCAUUGGCCUCAAACCUCCAGUUUGCAGAGGUCUGUGGGGAGCUAGACAUUUCUUGAGGAGGUGAGCGAAGUUAGGAUUGCAUUUGGUGGAACUGAGGGAGAUUCCAAUUCCAACUGAAGCUAGAAGGAAGGGCAGACAGUAUUCCUGAACAUGUGGGAAAUAUCGAGCUUGAACCUGUUAGUUGAAGGUAAUACUUUAGUUGCUACUGGUGCAAGGUCUGCCAGAGGCUGGAGGUGGAGAUGGAGGCAUGAGAGCAGAGUUGAGGGUAACACUAUGGGAGCCAGCCCUGACUCUCAGGCUGCCCUGGCCCACAGCAUACACAGGACCUGAGGAGGAGGCAUCCCUGGAGUUCCUACUGACAGACUACGAGGCAGUGUGUGGCCGCAGGGCCCGGCUGGAGCGCGAAGUCCAAGGAGCGUUCCUCCGCUUUAUGGCCUGUCUGCUCAAGGGCUACCGGGUCUUCCUGCGCCCACUCACCCAGGCCCCCUCCGAGGGAGCUCGUGAUGUUGACAACCUUUUCUUCCUGCAGGG
rnacentral:sRNA from 1 species